UGAUAAGUAGGAUCCGUUUCCUCUGUCCCAAUUAAACCUGCCAAUUGUUGGUAUCCCAUAAUACUUAUCUAGCAAAUUAACUUCUGGAAAUCUUGUUCCAUUCUAUUUCUUGUUUACACGAUGAUUGGUUGGCUGGUUUCUAGUCUAUGUGGAUCCACUGUGCCUAAAUGGGCGAGACGCUGGCUCGCUAGCAUUGGCCGAGAAAGUUCAUCCAGGACGGAGGACCUGAAAAGGCGGCUGUUUAGUCGUCCGAAUGGAUAGAAAAAAAAACGAGGCCCGUGUACAAAUUGGAUCGCACGUAAAAAUUCUUUGCAGCUGGAACUCGAUAUAAGAGUAGGCCGUAGUGCCCCUGUCCGGGCAUCCAUCGUCAUACCCAUCGUCAUUAGCCCAGUUCGGAGCAGAACAAUAGAACGUUACACUCCGUGUCAUUGUAUUUCAUUUCUAGUCUAUGGCGGGUAUCCUAAUCUCAAACUAGUGAUUUUUCUUAUUGUACAUAUGCUUAUAUUCGAUUCCCCAUUAUUGAAUUGGUGACUUAUUGUAUGCCAGGUUGAUUUCCGCUCAUGCCGUCAUAAUGUUCCGGUUCGAUGACUUUCGAGAAAUAGUUUUUGGAGAAAUGUAUUUGGAGAAAUGUUUUUAGAGAAAUGUUUUGCAAGAUUUGUAUUUGGAGAGUUGUAUUUGGAAAUCUGUUGUUCGAGAUUUGUUCUGUGAAAAAUGUAAAUCACGGCCUCGUCCCUUGUUAGAGCCAGAAGGCGCUUCAACAUCAGUGAAAGACGGUCGUGUAUUUGUGUUAUAAAGUAAUCCACCAAGCUCAUUACGUCAUCAAUAUGUCUGAUCAACGCGGCCUUGUCCCUUGUUAGAGCCAGAAGGCGCCUCAACAUCGGUGAAAGACGGUCGUGUAUUUGUGUUAUAAAGUAAUCGAUCACGCCCAUUACGUCAUCAAUAUGUCUGAUCAAGUGAGUAUAUUGAAAUGAUUAUAUUAGAGAAUAUGAGGUUAUUCUAGUUGACCAAUUUAACCAGUAAUUUGUUUGAAUUACCAGUAUCUGAUGUGUGGUGCAGACCCCCCCCCCCCUGCACUUACUAUUAGUAUGUUAACAUUUUGCAACUCGAAAUUUAAAUCCAGUGUUUCAUUCGGGUUAAAAUAAAACACUCAAUAUUAUGUACAGGCCCUAUUGGCCAAUGUGUAGAAGGUCAUAUAGUUAUGGUGAUGUCAAACAAUGUUGAAAUGUCGAUCAGUAAUAAACAGAGAAUUAUCACCUGUUUAUUUCCAGUUUAAUUACAAUGUGUCAAUGAAUUAAUUUUACCUGAGUAAAGAUUCAAUUAUAUUAGUCGUCAUGCACAUAUUCAUGUCACACAUAUAUUGGUUAAAUGGAUUAACGUUAAUCAUGAAAUGGCCUAGUCUGUGUCGAGUGGACGUUAAACCCCAUUACACACACCCACGCAGACAUUCACACGCAGACGCAAUGCGAGCUAGGAGAAUUGUUAAUGCAUGCGCGUUGCAUCAAAAGGUCUGCCACUGGGUUUUCGAUUUUCCGCUUGUACGUGACAAGGAGUAGGAUCGCCUGUCCAACCUCAUGGGUUUUCUCCAGGUCCUCCGAUUUCCCGCCACUGCUAAAGACCCCUAAAGACUUAGGCGCAAGCGAAUAAUGUAAAUAAAAUUGAAUUAUAUGUUCGUCUCGAAAUGACCUAGUUUGUGUCGAAAUGACCUAGUUUGUGUCGAAAUGACCUAGUUUGUGUCGAAUGGAUUUUAAAUCGUUAAAUCAUAUUGUAAUCAAGAAAUCCCCCAAAACAGUUUAAAAUUUCCUUUACUGAAAUUUCUCGUAAAUGAGCAGGUCUGCGAUCAAAAUUUCUUUGUCUUACGUUUUGGAUAUCUAUGGGCAAAAACAUCAUUUGAAGCCUGAAAACUAAAUCUAAAAGCUUUUAAUCAAAUUCGCUUUUUGUCGUCUGCUGUUUUACACCAGUGUUGUAAUAAGUGACUUUUUUUAAUACCCAGGGGUGAGUGUUAGAGUUAUUUUUAACUAGAUAAUAACUUUUAUCAAGAUAUUAUUAUCUUAUCAGUUUUUAUGUAAUUAGAAAUAAUAUUGCACAAAGCUCCUUAUUGUCUGACUAUUGUUUUCUUAUAUCGGGAAGAUGAUAUUGAAAAUAUACGAAAGAUGAAGAGCUCGAGACCCUGUUUCACAAAAGCUUAAAUGUCCUUAAAAUCGUCUUAAUCUAAAAUAUCAUCCUAACUUAAGAUAGAUAAGUUUCAAGCAUUUUAUAUAAAAUCCACUUAAGUAAUAUUGUAAGUUAUAAUUUAAUAUUAACUUAAUAUAGUGGCGUAUCACAAAAUUAUUUUAGGGGCAAUUUUAACUAAAACGAAUUUUAACUUGGGACAGCCGUCACCCUCUCCUAACUUAAGACGACAUUAACAAACAUUGAUUAGAGCUACGUUGUGAGAUCUAUUGCGACAUAUAGAUAUAUUUGGAAUAAUAAUAUUAUUGCCAAUGGCCCGGGUCACAUAAUUUUAACAUACUAUCAUUCACAAAAAUAAUUCCUAUUCAAUUUCUUUACAUAGCGUUGAAAAUACAGCUACGGCCACCCGUUUAUUUUAUUGUAAGGCAAUUUAAGCAAUUAGAUGACGCCCCAAAUUACAACCCCAAGAACAAAAUUCACCCAAAACCCCACAAAACAAAACCAUUUGUAACUGUCUUAUAUAUUAUCAUAUGAUUCAAGUAUAAAUUAUACUAUUUUCAAAUAAAUAACAGACAAAAAAAAACAGAACAAUAAAAAAAACACCUAAAAUGAAAAGUAAACUCAUUCCAUAUUGAAUGUCAGGGAAAGAGCACUCUAUAAAAAAAAUAUCUUCGUGUAGGCCAACAAUGUUUACUUAUAGGGUUUUAGGGGUUAUGGUGACCUGUAAAAAUAUAAUUCAGUAAUCUCCAAUGUGUUUAUCUCGGUCAUAAGUAGUGAAAUAUGAUCCAA